rnacentral:rRNA from 1 species
UACGUAGGGUGCAAGCGUUGUCCGGAAUUAUUGGGCGUAAAGAGCUCGUAGGCGGUCUGUCGCGUCGGAUGUGAAAAUCCAGGGCUCAACCCUGGACCUGCAUUCGAUACGGGCAGACUAGAGUUCGGUAGGGGAGACUGGAAUUCCUGGUGUAGCGGUGAAAUGCGCAGAUAUCAGGAGGAACACCAGUGGCGAAGGCGGGUCUCUGGGCCGAUACUGACGCUGAGGAGCGAAAGCGUGGGGAGCAAACAGG